GUAGGGUCCAAGCGUUGUCCGGAUUUAUUGGGCGUAAAGAGCUCGUAGGCGGCUUAGUAAGUCGGAUGUGAAAACUCGGGGCUCAACCCCGAGACGCCAUCCGAUACUGCUGUGGCUUGAGUCUGGUAGGGGAACACGGAAUUCCUGGUGUAGCGGUGAAAUGCGCAGAUAUCAGGAGGAACACCGAUGGCGAAGGCAGUGUUCUGGGCCAGUACUGACGCUGAGGAGCGAAAGCGUGGGGAGCAAACAGGAUUAGAUACCCUGGUAGUCCACGCCGUAAACGUUGGGCACUAGGUGUGGGGUCCUAUCGACGGACUCCGUGCCGUAGCUAACGCAUUAAGUGCCCCGCCUGGGGAGUACGGCCGCAAGGCUA
rnacentral:rRNA from 1 species